rnacentral:lncRNA from 1 species
ACCGUAGUAGCCUUUCUUCUUGUUAACUGAGUGAAUGUGAUCCUUUUAUCUUUCGAAUGAAGAAAUGAUCGUCUUGCUCUCAUUCUAGUCAAUUGAGAGAGCGAAAAAAACGCUUCUUUUUUACAGGGGUCGGGAACUCCUUUUAUUCCCUCUGAUCUAUUCCCCAUCCCGAGAAAAGUAGAUGCUAAAACUAGGAAUUAUCUAAAUACCUUCUAGUGACAUGCUUCUAGUCAGACAAGGAAUCAUCGUUUGUUAAUCUCCUAUUAUGACCUGGUUCCUUUUCAAAAAAUAAUAAUGUAUGUAACUAAUCUCCUAACUAGAAUAAAGGUUCAUCGGAGUCUCUUGAACUUGAAGGAGUACCUUCUCUUAUCUCUUAAUCACGCUAUCUUCUAGUUUUGUAAGAAUCAAUCAUCGUAAGUAAAGUCAGCAGACUUCUCAAUUUUGUACCAAAGCGAGAAUUCGAGCUAAAGCUUUUCCCUCCACUCUACUCUGGUAUUAGUUAUAAGAGAGAGCCAAAUUGCGAAAGCGUAA